GAUGAACGCUAGCGGCAGGCUUAACACAUGCAAGUCGAGGGGCAGCGCGGGAUAGCAAUAUCCUGGCGGCGACCGGCGGAAGGGUGCGUAACGCGUGAGCGACAUGCCCGUUGCCCGGGGACAACCGGUGGAAACGCCGACUAAUCCCCGAUGGGAUAUUGUGCCGCAUGGCACGAUAUUGAAAGUUACGGCGGCGACGGAUUGGCUCGCGUCCGAUUAGCUGGUUGGCGGGGUAACGGCCCACCAAGGCUGCGAUCGGUAGGGGUUCUGAGAGGAAGGCCCCCCACAAGGGGACUGAGACACGGCCCAUACUCCUACGGGAGGCAGCAGUGAGGAAUAUUGGUCAAUGGGCGGAAGCCUGAACCAGCCAUGCCGCGUGCGGGAAGGAGGCCCUAUGGGCUGUGAACCGCUUUUGCCUGGGGGCAAUAAGGGCGUCGCGCACGUCCGAUGAGAGUACCAGGCGAAUAAGCAUCGGCUAACUCCGUG
rnacentral:rRNA from 1 species